AACCCAUGUUGAGGACAUUUCUGCAAGAGCUCCUUGAACCUAUACCAUGUCUCAAAAAGAGACCCCAAUUCCAUUUGCACAAUAGAGGAAAUUUCAUUUCUGAGCUU